UACGUAGGGAGCGAGCGUUGUCCGGAAUUACUGGGUGUAAAGGGUGCGUAGGCGGCAAGAAAAGUCAGAUGUGAAAUACCUGGGCUUAACCCGGGAGCUGCAUUUGAAACUUUCCUGCUUGAGUGAAGUAGAGGCAAGCGGAAUUCCCUGUGUAGCGGUGAAAUGCGUAGAGAUAGGGAGGAACACCAGUGGCGAAGGCGGCUUGCUGGGCUUCAACUGACGCUGAGGCACGAAAGCGUGGGUAGCAAAC
rnacentral:rRNA from 1 species